rnacentral:rRNA from 1 species
CCUACGGGAGGCAGCAGUGGGGAAUUUUGGACAAUGGGCGAAAGCCUGAUCCAGCAAUGCCGCGUGAGUGAAGAAGGCCUUCGGGUUGUAAAGCUCUUUUGUCAGGGAAGAAACGGUGAGAGCUAAUAUCUUUUGCUAAUGACGGUACCUGAAGAAUAAGCACCGGCUAACUACGUGCCAGCAGCCGCGGUAAUACGUAGGGUGCAAGCGUUAAUCGGAAUUACUGGGCGUAAAGCGUGCGCAGGCGGUUUUGUAAGUCUGUCGUGAAAUCCCCGGGCUCAACCUGGGAAUUGCGAUGGAGACUGCAAGGCUAGAAUCUGGCAGAGGGGGGUAGAAUUCCACGUGUAGCAGUGAAAUGCGUAGAGAUGUGGAGGAACACCGAUGGCGAAGGCAGCCCCCUGGGUCAAGAUUGACGCUCAUGCACGAAAGCGUGGGGAGCAAACAGGAUUAGAUACCCUGGUAGUCCACGCCCUAAACGAUGUCUACUAGUUGUCGGGUUUUAAUUAACUUGGUAACGCAGCUAACGCGUGAAGUAGACCGCCUGGGGAGUACGGUGCAGNUUAAACNAAGAUGACGCNGNGAGNGCGAGAGACAGAGGAGAGG